ACGGACGGUCCGGAGUCAGUGGGUUAUCCAAAAAUUUGAAACCCUCCCAUUGACACCAACUUGACCGUUUG
rnacentral:sRNA from 1 species